UCACCCAUCUCCUCUCCGCCU
rnacentral:miRNA from 1 species